GAAAUAUCCAUAAUAGGAGAUCUCUCAUCUUGCAGCACAGGCUCUUGCAAAAGUAAACUUCUAUACUGUUACACAAAUGAAGAUGAUAGGAGCAAAAAUAAUCAGAGUGGGUUUGUCAGCAAGCCUUGAAAAUUUAUUUAGCUUCAUUUCUUUAUAUACUGACAGGCUGAGGUCAUAAAUAUUGCUGUGUGCACAGUCGGUGCAGCUCAGUGAUACCAGAACAUUGCACUCAGUGCAACAUAGUUUUUUCCAAACACUGGUAGGAACAAAAGGAUGAUAAGAAUUUAAAUCCCCUAAAAGUGUGCUGCUGAGCAAACCAGGAAAAAAAGAGAUUCAGAGUGAAUUUAGCUUCUAAUAGUAACAGUUUCCUUAGAUAUGCUUCGAUUUCAAAAUACCAUAUGUACAGAGAGCAAAAGUGCUGACAAUGCAGUAAGCCAUUUGGCCCAUAAGAAGAAGUUAUAUUCAAGUACAAAAAAAGUGAAUCACUUCAUAUGAUUUCCAUAUUAAAAAAAAUAAAAAUAAAAAUAACCACAAUUGACACUGAAGAAAAAAAAGAAAUCUAAAAAGGUCGAUCCUUGCUGUUUUGUAAACCACUGUAGCAGAUCUCCCUCUGAGGGUGAGGAGAGCACUGUGGGUGGAAGGGAGGAGAAGCCAGCCACUACUACAGGGCUACCGAUUGCAAGGAUGGCCUACAUUCAACCCCUUCAUGCCAGCCCUGGAUUCCUGGUGCUAAGGAUUAGUUCUGCUUUACAUGACCUCCUGCAUGUCUAAUAUCACAUCUGACAAAAAUCAAAGGAUGUUACUAGGUCUCUUAACUCUAAUUGGUAUUGAUCUACGUGAAAUUUUUUGGUCAGCUAAUACAGAGUCUCACGCAGAAACCAGUUGUGAGCAUGAGAUGUUACUAUUUACAGUGAAAUUUUUGCACAUUUCUGGAAACAUAGGGGUCAGAAUUUCUAAGAUUUAGUGAAAAACCACCAAUUACACUGCCUUUCAACCUACAGUUUUUCUAGAGAAAGAGAGAUUAAUCAUCAUCUAUGGCAAUAAGCUAUCCAUUAAAACACCUCUAAGGUAAGGGAGAGUGACUCCCUUUCAGUGACUCACUGUAUCAACUUCUGUGAAUUCCCU
ensembl:lncRNA